AAAGAUUAAGCCAUGCAUGUCUAAGUAUAAGCAAUCUAUACAGUGAAACUGCGAAUGGCUCAUUAAAUCAGUUAUCGUUUAUUUGAUAGUACCUUACUACAUGGAUAACCGUGGUAAUUCUAGAGCUAAUACAUGCUAAAAAUCCCGACCUCUGGAAGGGAUGUAUUUAUUAGAUAAAAAACCAAUGCCUUCGGGCUCCUUGGUGAUUCAUGAUAACUUUACGAAUCGCAUGGCCUUGUGCCGGCGAUGGUUCAUUCAAAUUUCUGCCCUAUCAACUUUCGAUGGUAGGAUAGUGGCCUACCAUGGUUUCAACGGGUAACGGGGAAUUAGGGUUCUAUUCCGGAGAGGGAGCCUGAGAAACGGCUACCACAUCCAAGGAAGGCAGCAGGCGCGCAAAUUACCCAAUCCCGACACGGGGAGGUAGUGACAAUAAAUACUGAUACAGGGCCCUUUCGGGUCUUGUAAUCGGAAUGAGUACAAUUUAAAUCCCUUAACGAGGAACAAUUGGAGGGCAAGUCUGGUGCCAGCAGCCGCGGUAAUUCCAGCUCCAAUAGCGUAUAUUAAAGUUGUUGCAGUUAAAAAGCUCGUAGUUGAACUUCGGGCCUGGCUGACCGGUCCGCCUCACCGCGUGCACUGGUUCGGCCGGGUCUUUCCUUCUGGCUAACCUCAUGCCCUUCACUGGGUGUGCUGGGGAACCAGGACUUUUACUUUGAAAAAAUUAGAGUGUUCAAAGCAGGCAUAUGCUCGAAUACAUUAGCAUGGAAUAAUAGAAUAGGACGUGCGGUUCUAUUUUGUUGGUUUCUAGGACCGCCGUAAUGAUUAAUAGG
rnacentral:rRNA from 1 species